AUAGUUUUGCUAGUGCACUGAGUAGAAAUGGAUUCAUGGUAAACAGCAUGUAUGUGGAAAUCCUGACCUCAAAAGCAGUGUUUGACCUCUAAAAAUGAAAAAUAACGACAAGCAACCUGUCUGGGAACUAAAAUUCAAGCAUGAAGAAAUCAAGUCCUUUAUCUAUGGAGAAAGAAACAAUACUUGCUUCAGAAGGGGAGGGAAUGGAUGAAGGUGUAUGCUGAUUUUUUUUUUUACAAUCUAAUGAACAUUUUUGAAUUAUUUUCAAUUAUCUAAACAAGAUGAGAUUAUCCUUCUUUGGGUUUUUCUAGCAUCUACCUUGGAUAUUUCUGUUUUCUGUCCUGUACGUUCAAGAAACUUAGUUCUAUGCACAACACCUUAAUGGUUAGGAAAAAAACAACAGAUACCUUAGCUGAAUCAGCGAUAGAGUGAACAUUCAAGAUGAGAUGGCUGCUGCUGAUGUCUCUCUCUAGGUCAUCCAACUGCAAAUGCUGCAUGAUAAGCUUACAGACAAGUUUGAUUCCUGAGGAUUUUAUAGAUGCAUUCAUUUGGUUUUCUUGGCAAGAAUACUGAAGUGGUUCACCAUUAAUUUCUUCCAGUUUGGACUUCCCACUGUAGCCUAUAGUACAACUAUUUCCCAGCCAUCAUCCAUCCAAAUAAUAUGUUGGUUUGAUCUUGCUUAGCUGAAUUCUUAGAUACUAUGCUUCCAAAAGAAAAGGUAUGCAUUAGAAAUUGAGCAUGUACUGUAGGAAUUUUACUGUGAAGUCUCUUUCUCUUGUGUAUUUUGACCUGACUAGACCAGAAGCUAAUGUAAUUUCAGCACUGGUGAUGGAUCAUCAUCCUUUACCUGAACUUUAAGAAUUUUGGAACUAAUUAGACAGCUGAUAUGGCAUGAACAGUUUUGCUAUCAACAGAGGAAAUAACCUGGAACACAGAAGGAAGACCUAAAGGGACUGCUGUUGGUGGUCCACAUUCACUCCAGUAUUCACUGCCUAAGAAAUUCAUUUCCAUGCCCAGGGUGAAGCUAUAACAAGAACCGGCAAUUCUCAGGUUGGAUAAAACCAUUAUGUAAGCAACGAAUGAUGUUUCACAAUCUCAAGUACAGGAAGAUAUUCAAAUAUCUCCAGGUGCAAAAAAGCAGAAGAAAAGCCUAGAAUUUAAAUGGAGGAAGAGGGGAAGGAGGAGGAGGAGGAGGAGGAGAUGAUCUAUGUUCUGUAGUUUAUAGAUUUUCUCCACACAUGUGGCUUUUAUCUUUCUGCAAGAAAGCAGUUCAUCCUGCAAUGUUGUAUUUAUGAGUCUAUGGGGUUGUUUGUAGAAUCAAUAUUUAUUGCUGUGCUUGCCAUAAAGUCUAGUACCAUCUUACUCUGUUGAAACAGCUAGCCUACUUUAGUAACGUAAGAAAGUAAAAUAUGAGAUAGUGAUCACUACUAACUGAAAGUUUUUAAAAGGGACAAAUUUAUCGUUCCCUAUUAGCUAUAAUAGCUUAAGGAAUCUUCAGAUUUAAAUGCAAUUGGUCUAAAAAUAACAGAUACAGAAUGAAAUUAGUUAUGAGAAUUAUAUUUAUGUUUUAACUGUGGAUUUGGGGGAUUUUGGGUUAGACUUUGGAUUUUAUCCAUUAUGGCACACAGAUGGGAUCUCAUAGAAAAUGUUUCUAUCUUCUAUAGAAGCUCAAGAUAUAGUUAAAGCUGAUUCUUCACUUUCUGCAUAUGAACAAAAUAAAGAAUUAAAUUAGUAGCAACUACAAAUAGGGUGACAAAAAUGUAUGCAACAUCUUUUCUUUUUCCAUUAAAUUAACACUCACUGUUCUAAAACAUAAAUUAAGCUACAGUCCGAAUAAAAAUACCAUUAAAUCACAA